rnacentral:rRNA from 1 species
CACGUAGUUAGCCGGGGCUUCUUCUGCAGGUACCGUCGAUGUUCUUCCCUGCUGAAAGCGGUUUACAACCCGAAGGCCGUCAUCCCGCACGCGGCGUUGCUGCGUCAGGGUUUCCCCCAUUGCGCAAUAUUCCCCACUGCUGCCUCCCGUAGGAGUCUGGGCCGUAUCUCAGUCCCAAUGUGGCCGAUCGCCAUCUCAGGCCGGCUACCCAUCGCAGGCUAGGUGGGCCGUUGCCCCGCCUACUACCUAAUGGGCCGCGACCCCAUCCCGCACCGUCGGAGCUUUCCUCCGUGGCGCAUGCGCGCCUCGGAGAGUAUCCGGUAUUAGCCGCCGUUUCCGGCGGUUGUCCCGGGGUGCGGGGCAGGUUGGUCACGUGUUACUCACCCGUUCGCCACUGUAUGUCCGCCCCGAAGGGCGGUUUAACCGUUCGACUUGCAUGUGUUAGGCACGCCGCCAGCGUUCAUCCUGAGCCAGGAUCAAACUCU